rnacentral:rRNA from 1 species
UACGAAGGGGGCUAGCGUUGCUCGGAGUCACUGGGCGUAAAGGGUGCGUAGGCGGGUCUUUAAGUCAGGGGGGAAAUCCUGGAGCUCAACUCCAGAACUGCCUUUGAUACUGAAGAUCUUGAGUUCGGGAGAGGUGAGUGGAACUGCGAGUGUAGAGGUGAAAUUCGUAGAUAUUCGCAAGAACACCAGUGGCGAAGGCGGCUCACUGGCCCGAUACUGACGCUGAGGCACGAAAGCGUGGGGAGCAAACAGG